AACGAACGCUGGCGGCAGGCCUAACACAUGCAAGUCGAGCGCCCCUUCGGGGGAGCGGCGGACGGGUGAGUAACGCGUGGGAACGUACCCUUUGCUACGGAAUAGCCUCGGGAAACUGGGAGUAAUACCGUAUGUGCCCCUUCGGGGGAAAGAUUUAUCGGCAAAGGAUCGGCCCGCGUUGGAUUAGGUAGUUGGUGGGGUAAUGGCCUACCAAGCCGACGAUCCAUAGCUGGUUUGAGAGGAUGAUCAGCCACACUGGGACUGAGACACGGCCCAGACUCCUACGGGAGGCAGCAGUGGGGAAUCUUAGACAAUGGGCGCAAGCCUGAUCUAGCCAUGCCGCGUGAGCGAUGAAGGCCUUAGGGUUGUAAAGCUCUUUCAGGGGGGAAGAUAAUGACUGUACCCCCAGAAGAAGCCCCGGCUAACUCCGUGCCAGCAGCCGCGGUAAAGUACAGUGU
rnacentral:rRNA from 1 species